rnacentral:rRNA from 1 species
GGCAUCGGGAUUGAAGCUUGCUUCAUUGCCGGCGACCGGCGCACGGGUGCGUAACGCGUAUGUAACCUACCUAUAACAGGGGCAUAACACUGAGAAAUUGGUACUAAUUCCCCAUAAUAUUCAGAGAGGCAUCUCUCCGGGUUGAAAACUCCGGUGGUUAUAGAUGGACAUGCGUUGUAUUAGCUAGUUGGUGAGGUAACGGCUCACCAAGGCAACGAUACAUAGGGGGACUGAGAGGUUAACCCCCCACACUGGUACUGAGACACGGACCAGACUCCUACGGGAGGCAGCAGUGAGGAAUAUUGGUCAAUGGACGCAAGUCUGAACCAGCCAUGCCGCGUGCAGGAAGACGGCUCUAUGAGUUGUAAACUGCUUUUGUACGAGGGUAAACUCACCUACGUGUAGGUGACUGAAAGUAUCGUACGAAUAAGGAUCGGCUAACUCCGUGCCAGCAGCCGCGGUAAUACGGAGGAUUCAAGCGUUAUCCGGAUUUAUUGGGUUUAAAGGGUGCGUAGGCGGUUUGAUAAGUUAGAGGUGAAAUCCCGGGGCUUAACUCCGGAACUGCCUCUAAUACUGUUAGACUAGAGAGUAGUUGCGGUAGGCGGAAUGUAUGGUGUAGCGGUGAAAUGCUUAGAGAUCAUACAGAACACCGAUUGCGAAGGCAGCUUACCAAACUAUAUCUGACGU